UACAGAGGGGGCAAGCGUUGUUCGGAAUUACUGGGCGUAAAGGGCGAGUAGGUGGCCAUCUAAGUCAGACGUGAAAUCCCCCGGCUUAACCUGGGAACUGCGUCUGAUACUGGACGGCUUGAGUAUGGGAGAGGAAUGUAGAAUUCCAGGUGUAGCGGUGAAAUGCGUAGAUAUCUGGAGGAAUACCGGUGGCGAAGGCGGCAUUCUGGACCAUUACUGACACUGAAGCGCGAAAGCUAGGGGAGCAAACGGG
rnacentral:rRNA from 1 species